CAGCGGCAGGAGCGCGGGUCGGCGCGGAGCUGCCGCCGCGUCCCCGGCCGGCACCGCCGUGCAUGGGGAGGGAGCGGGCGGGACGCUGCCUGCGCGCCGCGCCGCACGGCUCGGCACGGCACGGCUCGGCACGGCUCGGCACGGCCGCCGCGUCUAAUUAGAACCUGAUUGUGGCGUUGUCUUCAAAUUUUUCACUUCUGCAGUCAGUGACAGGGUCUGUGGCAGUAAUUUGAGGAUUCAGUAGGAACACAGUAGCCACUACUGUCUUCUGCUUGAGAAUGCAUCCAGAGUCUUACGUGACUGUGGAAUCUAGACCUUGGAAUUAAACAAUUUCAGUAUUAUGGUAUGAAAUAACAGGGAUUUUAAAGCAAUGGUGUACUUUCCAGAGAAGCCUAAUUUUGACCUGUUUACAGAUUUUCAAUUUUUGUAAGUGCCAACAACAGCAACAUGGGGAAGGAGUAUUUGCUGCUGGGAGGGGAAAUUGUAAUGAGCAAGAAGUACAUGGAAUGCAGAAAAUGGUCCAACAUCCUUGUUGGUUGAAUCAGACUGACUGGAACUGCAGAAUGGAAAAUGAAAGAAGGCUGCUACUGCUUUUUACUUGUAGCUGUUCAAAAUUAUGUUAGGCUAAUAAAAAGUUGAAAUCACUGUAGAAUAACCACUUCCAAAUUACGUGGUAGUAAUGUUAUGCAUGACCACAGAGUAGUACUAAAGUGAAUGUUACUGCUGUCUUGUACUAGCAGUGGCAUCAUCUUCCUGAAGUUAGGAGAAAAGUGGUUGCUGAAUGAGGUUGUUGCUUUGCCAUUGGUCUCUUUUUAUCUCAGCUUUGGGGCAUUUUUGCAGUAUGACCUUAUGUAAACAAAAAGCUAAAUGAUGAUGUUUGCAGUUACAAGAAUGAACUGAGAUCUCAUCUGAAAGAGCCUUAAAAGGGAAAUAAACAAAAUUCAGAGAUGUAGUAGUAUUAAACAGACACCAUGAUUAAAUGGUGUUCAUUAUGAAUAGGAGAGUAUCAAAAGUUACGAAGCUUGCAAUUAAAAAGCAGUUAACUUUUAACUAAUUAAACUUAACUUUUUUUAACUAAUUCAAAAGCAGAACUUACCAUGCAAUAAUAAAAACAUAAAAACAACUGGAAGAAGGCAACCAAAAUCUGGUGGCUCUUUUUCGAAAUGUAAGGGGAACUUUUUAGUAGGAGGUUGAACUAGAUGACCUCCUGCCUUUCAACACAAAUUAGCCUAUCCUAGUGCUCCUGUUCUGUUACAGGCUAGUGUUUUUCUUGUAACACACCUGCUACUUUUUACCUAGGCUUGUGUGCAAAUGUUAUCACUGUGAUUGGGCAAGUAGACAAUUACAUUAUUUAAUUUGACUUAAUGGAGCUGCUGUUUAAAAGCCUCUGACACUGGCCCUGUGGUGAUUUUAAUGAGUUCUUUACAUAUUCCUAUGUCCCAUGGGGUUCUCAGCAUAAGCCCAGUGAGAUGACUAAUAUGAGAAAUAGUAACAUGGUUUGAGUCAACAUUUGAGCUCAUGCUUAGGUUUGUAUUUCUUUAAAUUGUUUUGGUUGCAAUUUCUUUAUCAAAAAGUUAAUGAGGAGCUUUCUUGAAUUUCUGUAUAUCAGAUUUUCAAAAUUAUUCCAUAAGAUAGAUCUGUCUUUAUGCAGAUGUGAAAAACAUUACAAAAAUGUGAAUAUACAAAGAAGCUUCUUUGUAAAAGUUGUGCUGGAGGAACUGUAAUCCUGCAUACAAAUAGAUGCUUUCUGCUGCAUUCUGUGCUUAUCUAGAGAGUAGAUUGUAUGUCUCACUUAAAUUGGUUGUGUGUGUCUCAUCAGAGUGACAGCUACAAGGUACAAGUGUAAGGUAGGUUGUUACUGUCAGUUGCAACCUGUAAGAUUCUCAAAGAAAAAGGGUGAUGCCUCUCUCAAAACACCAACCUCUGUGGGUUAUGCAGUACUGGAUACAGAGAGGUCUCAUUCACAUGGGCAAUGAUAACCUCCAUGUAUUAUGUAGAAUGACUUGCCUGGAGGGUAAUUGUCCAUCUAAUUUUGAUUAUGUAGUUACUGUUUCACACAGUCAAAGCUGAAUCUUUAAAUCUGAUUUGUAGGGGAAAAAAAAAAAGUCCAAUCUGGUGCAGGCAACUAUUGAUUUAAAAUCAAUAGAAAUAUUGUCUUUCUCUGAGGUGAGUUGUCUCUGCAUCUAUCUUUGACAAUGACUUCCACAACAGUAUUACAAAGUUUCUUUUGUUGUUAGUAGAUUGCUUUUUAAUCAUGGUUGCACAUUUCCUUUUAUAAGGAAGGAAGGUGUUAAGUCUCGGUGCUUUGAUUUUCUGUCUUCUUGGUUUUCUUAUGGUUUUGUGUGGUGUUUUUUUUGCAGGGGUGGGGGAGAGGUUGUAUAUGUGUGUAUUUUAUUUUUUUCUUAGAGUCUUUAGUGUUUGUUAGUAGCUCAUACAAAUCUAUUAACUGAUUCUGUUUUUCUGUGGUUUUUGUGUCACAAAAUGAAUUCACAAAGUGAAUUAAGAAUCAUUUCAAUACCUUUCCUCUUUUCAUCAGAACAUUUUUUCUUAGGUUGCAUGUGCCUGUAUUAAGCAGAGACUCUGUUGAGCUGCACAUCCUGCGUGUGGUUGUUUUGUUUAUCUACUCAACAUUUGGCUUAAAAUGUAAUGUCAUGUGGGAAUAACUGCAAGUUAUUCUUUUAAGGGCUUACUAUUUUAUGUUUGAUGGCACCAGAUGUUAUCUGUCUUCUGUUUUGCUUUUUGUUUUGUUUUGUUUUGUUUUGUUUGGCUAGCUCUCAGUUUUGAUCCUGCUCAAGUCUCACGUAAGCUGGUUAUCACCAAAGUUGUUUUCAGGCUAGGACUUCAGAAGUGCUUAUAUGCUUGCAUAAAUGUGUAUGGUGUGGUAUUUCUUGCUCUGCAUGCAGCCCCGUGUGGGAUCUUUUCUGAUAUUUACCCUAGUUCUUGAUCUAUGUGUUGUUCAGAGUGUAAGGUUUUUUUUAUCGACAGUUCAGUGGAGCUGAUUUAGCUGGUAUUACCUUUACCAUUCUGCUUAUGUGCUUGAGCAGCUGCAGUAGAUUUUGGGACUUAAGAAAGUGUUUUACAGAUGUUUUAAGUAGAUGGAUUUUUUAUACAUCUUCAAAGUGUUGUGAUUGAAGUUAUUAAAAAUCUAAAAAUGCUUC